rnacentral:rRNA from 1 species
AAUAGAUACCCAGGUAGUCCAUGCCGUAAACGUUGGGAACUAGAUGUAGGGACCAUUCCACGGUUUCUGUGUCGCAGCUAACGCAUUAAGUUCCCCGCCUGGGGAGUACGGCCGCAAGGCUAAAACUCAAAGGAAUUGACGGGGGCCCGCACAAGCGGCGGAGCAUGCGGAUUAAUUCGAUGCAACGCGAAGAACCUUACCAAGGCUUGACAUAUACGAGAACGGGCCAGAAAUGGUCAACUCUUUGGACACUCGUAAACAGGUGGUGCAUGGUUGUCGUCAGCUCGUGUCGUGAGAUGUUGGGUUAAGUCCCGCAACGAGCGCAACCCUCGUUCUAUGUUGCCAGCACGUAAUGGUGGGAACUCAUAGGAGACUGCCGGGGUCAACUCGGAGGAAGGUGGGGAUGACGUCAAAUCAUCAUGCCCCUUAUGUCUUGGGCUUCACGCAUGCUACAAUGGCCGAUACAAAGGGCUGCAAUACCGUAAGGUGGAGCGAAUCCCAAAAAGUCGGUCUCAGUUCGGAUUGAGGUCUGC